rnacentral:rRNA from 1 species
UCGCCUGUUUAUCAAAAACAUAGCCAGUAGUUAGUGUUAUUGGUAUUUUYUGCUCAAUGAUACUUAAAUAGCCGCAGUACCCUGACUGUGCAAAGGUAGCAUAAUAAAUUGGCUUCUAAUUAAAGUCUUGGAUGAAGGAAAUAAUGGAAAAUAACUGUAUCAUGGAUACUAUAUAAAAUUGCUAAGCAGGUGAAAAUUCCUGCAUUUAAAUAAUAGACGAGAAGACCCUAGAAAUUUUUAGAAUUUGAAAUUAUAGGUUUUUGUUGGGGCAACAUUGUAACAAAUAAUUUACAUUAUGUACAUAAAACACAAUUAAAAGAAUAAAUUACUCUAGGGAUAACAGCGUAAUGUAUAAACGAUUGCGACCUCGAUGUUGGACUAGGAUACGAAAG